UACAGAGGAUGCAAGCGUUAUCCGGAAUGAUUGGGCGUAAAGCGUCUGUAGGUGGCUUUUUAAGUCCGCCGUCAAAUCCCAGGGCUCAACUCUGGACAGGCGGUGGAAACUACCAAGCUGGAGUACGGUAGGGGCAGAGGGAAUUUCCGGUGGAGCGGUGAAAUGCGUAGAUAUCUGGAGGAAUACCGGUGGCGAAGGCGGCAUCCUGGACCGGCAUUGACGCUGAACAGCGAAAGCUAGGGGAGCAAACGGG
rnacentral:rRNA from 1 species